rnacentral:rRNA from 1 species
UACAGAGGUGGCAAGCGUUGUUCGGAAUUACUGGGCGUAAAGGGCGCGUAGGCGGUUCGUUAAGUCCUGUGUGAAAUCCCCCGGCUCAACUGGGGAACUGCACAGGAAACUAGCGGGCUUGAGUUCGGGAGAGGGAAGCGGAAUUCCAGGUGUAGCGGUGAAAUGCGUAGAUAUCUGGAGGAACAUCAGUGGCGAAGGCGGCUUCCUGGUCCAACACUGACACUGAGGUGCGAAAGCGUGGGGAGCAAACAGG